GAUCACUCUUGUCUCUGAGGAAUGGUCAUCCAAGCCAGUCACCUUCAUCAUCAUCAUCAUCAAAGCAGCCUUCGUUAAGGAACUUUGAUCUAAAUGACCAGUCCUCUUUUCUCAAUGAUUUCUCAAAUCUGAACAACUUCAAGAAACCACCUCAGAAUUCUAAUGCAUCUGGUGGAAUAAAAUCAGGUGAUACUGUUGUGUCCAUCAUGGGCGUGAAGGUUGAGGUCAACCGUAAAGAUUAUGCUGCUCAGUCUUCUCCUUUCCCAAAUGGUAGGGUAGCAGAAAACGCUGUUGAGCAUAACGUUGCAAGAGGUGGAGGAGUUUUAGGAAUGGGAUCUCCAUUUCAAUAUACCCCUCUUCCUGCUUUCGGUUACAGUGGCAUUGCUCCAGUUCCUCCCGCUUUCUCCUCAUCGAUGUAUGGACCCAGUGGUCAUAUUCCUUA
rnacentral:misc_RNA from 1 species